rnacentral:lncRNA from 1 species
CAGAAAACGGUCUUGAUUAUUGGAUUGUGAGGAAUUCAUGGGGUGCUAGCUGGGGAGAGGGAGGUUAUAUCAGGCUUGAACGUAAUCUGGGAAAUGCUAGAUCAGGCAAGUGUGGAAUUGCAAUUGAGCCAUCCUAUCCCAUCAAGAAUGGUCAGAACCCGCCUAACCCGGGGCCAUCACCCCCUUCACCGGUGACUCCACCGUCAGUGUGUGACAAUUACUACAGUUGUGCUGAAGCCACCACUUGCUGCUGCAUUUAUGAAUAUGGAAACUCUUGCUUUGAGUGGGGAUGUUGUCCUCUCGAGGGUGCUACCUGCUGUGAUGACCACUACAGUUGCUGCCCCAGUGACUACCCUGUCUGUGACACUUAUAGAGGGCUCUGUCUCAAGGUAGGAGUUACUUGUCCAACUAAUCUUUUAUUUGGUUGCAUCUUCACUUUGAACUAAGUGCGUGUUUGGAUGUCAGAAUUACUUUGCGUAAGCUUGAUUUUUGCAAUAUUGUUGAAGGUAAAUGUGAGUUCAGAGUGAAUUGAUUUUUGUUUACAUAAUUAUUAUAAGAAAAUUGAUUUUAGUAGGGCAACUAUGUGCAAUCUCGUAAUAAAAUCUCAUUAUUUAUUAUGUUUGUUGCAGAAACUGAGAUUGGUAGGUUUAUCUCCGAAUUGAUUUUUGCACUAGAAUUAUUUGUGAAAGAAAAUAUCUAAAUACCUAGGAGUUAAGUUUGAUAGUGGUGAAUCCACUCUAUCACUUGUAAGUGCAUGAUUGUAAACUUUUACAAUUGAUUCAAACGUCAAAUCAGUUAUGGGGAGAAGUUAUUGUGAGGUUCUACCUGGUUUCAAAAUUGAUUGUGAGGAAAGAGAAACUGAUCGAUAUAGUCGACCCUACUUAGUUCGAUAAGGUUUUUGUUGUUACUUUAAUGAUAC